GUCUAUAGUCAUGCCACCCUGAACAAGCCCGAUCUGGUCUGAUCUCAGUAGCUAAGCAGGGUCAGGCCUGGUUAGUACUUGAAUGGGAGACCACCUAGGAAGAUCAGGUGCUGUAGGCA
rnacentral:rRNA from 1 species